GGGAAGGGGCCUAGAGUGACACAUUUUGAUUUUUUAUUUUCCGUUUCUUUUCUUUCCCUUUCUCAUUGCUCUCGCUCCUCUCACUCUUUCUCUCUUUAGAACCGAGGGUUCUCUACUCUUUGUCUGCCACCACAUUCCGGCGUGCUCAGUCGCCGUCAGUGCCAAAGCUGCUCCAGCCAGCCACUUUAUUCAGACCCCUGCAAAGAAGACAUGCUCCCCACCCGCAACCAAGCUCCGCCGGGCUCCUCCAGCAAAGGCGGUCAAGACCACCUCUCUCUCACUUAUGUUUAAUCCGUUCUCCUGAUGUCUCAAUCUCUCUUCCCUGUCUCCUCCUCUCUUAAACACUUUUUCUUCUCUUAUCUUUUCUUUUCAAUACUCUUCUUCUCUUUUCUCGUCAAACAAACAAGUAGGACCUAGGGCUCGAGUGUGGUUUAACUUAACCAGGGUUCGAGUUUGAUUCGGGUUUGGUUACAUGUGGGUUAGGUUUGACCAGAAUUCAAGGGUGAGUCUUGGUCAGCCGUCAGGGUAUGAUUUGAUCGGGUUUUGGGUUGAACCAAAUGGGUCGACCUAAUUGCUCUUCGGUUUGGGUCUUUGGUCAACCCUAGUUCAAAAUGGAUUCGGGUCCUGGGUUUACCCGGUUGAAAUUGGAUCCAGAUCUUGGGUUGACCCAGUGGGUGUUCAGACCUUGGGUCAGGGUAUUAUUUAACUGAGUUUUGGGUUGACCCGAAUGGGUUGAUCCCAAUUAUUCUUCGGAUCUGGGUCUGGGUCUGGGUCUGGCUGAACUCCUCCUUCUUUGGCCACUAUGAAGCGCGAGGCUUUUUGUGAGUGAGAUCUUGUCUUUUUCUUUGGUCCCAUUUUCUUAGAUUGUACUCCAUAAGAUAUGAAAUAUUUUGGGUUGAUUUGGGCUUUCUCACCCUACUCCAUCUUU